rnacentral:tRNA from 1 species
CAAAGUAAAAUUUAAUAGUAAAUAUUUCAUUUACAAUGAAAUUAUUUUUGUGCAAUUCAAAAUGCUUUGA